rnacentral:rRNA from 1 species
CGGGGUGAGUAAUGUAUGGGGAUCUGCCUGAUGGCGGGGGAUAACUACUGGAAACGGUAGCUAAUACCGCAUAACGUCGCAAGACCAAAGAGGGGGACCUUCGGGCCUCUUGCCAUCGGAUGUGCCCAGAUGGGAUUAGCUAGUAGGUGGGGUAACGGCUUACCUAGGCGACGAUCCCUAGCUGGUCUGAGAGGAUGAUCAGCCACACUGGGACUGAGACACGGCCCAG